rnacentral:rRNA from 1 species
AUUGAACGCUGGCGGCAUGCCUUACACAUGCAAGUCGAACGGCAGCACGGGUGCUUGCACCUGGUGGCGAGUGGCGAACGGGUGAGUAAUACAUCGGAACAUGUCCUGUAGUGGGGGAUAGCCCGGCGAAAGCCGGAUUAAUACCGCAUACGAUCUACGGAGUAAAGCGGGGGACCUUCGGGCCUCGCGCUAUCGGGUUGGCCGAUGGCUGAUUAGCUAGUUGGUGGGGUAAAGGCCUACCAAGGCGACGAUCAGUAGCUGGUCUGAGAGGACGACCAGCCACACUGGGACUGAGACACGGCCCAGACUCCUACGGGAGGCAGCAGUGGGGAAUUUUGGACAAUGGGCGAAAGCCUGAUCCAGCAAUGCCGCGUGUGUGAAGAAGGCCUUCGGGUUGUAAAGCACUUUUGUCCGGAAAGAAAUCCUUGGCCCUAAUACGGUCGGGGGAUGACGGUACCGGAAGAAUAAGCACCGGCUAACUACGUG